CCAUGCCUCAAUCAUUUCAUCUAUGACGCUGGGGCAAUGGUCUUGAGUAACCUACUGAGUUAAGAAAUCAACAUAUGGCCACAGGAGACAAAAGGGUGAGCCAGAGCUUUCAAACAGUAUGGCGUUAAGCAAUAAGGUGCCGAGGUUAGAAUGAAGACAGACUGUCUCCAAAAUGGAACAGGAUAUUUAGUGCCUGGACAACGUGAGAAGCGGAUGUUAAAAACCCUAUCACAGAGCUUCUGCGGAAGCCUUUAACGCUGAGAACGGUGCCACAGAUGCCUAAAACAGCCUCAUCUAGAGGAAAGGACCAGACCUCCCAGGCAGAACGUGCUGUGCGAUGACAAGGCCUGCGCUGCCAACGUGGGCUCAUCAGCCAUGCCUGGACCACAGAGGCAGCGCAGAUGGAGAGUGAGUAUGGCACUGUGCUCACGGACUAAGAUGAUGGCUAGAGUUCCUGACAUCAUAUCCUUGCUCCCAGCAUCAAGAAAAAGAAAGAACGGAGAUGUCGUGAGCCAAUUGUCUUACAAGGAAGGUGUCUAUGGGCUGCCGCAUGACAUUCCACUGAUAUUCCAUAUACUGGGGCUUAACCACAUGGACAAAUCAACCUGCACAGAGGAGCUGUCUCUAUUUUGGAUGGUUGGAGGCUCUGCUAUGUGGAAGACAGGGAAAAAUAGAUCAGGGAGGGGGGAGAGAGGGGUGCAGUUUCUGCACAAGCACCUUUCAGGUUGAUGAACUCCUGGGGCUUCCACUGUGUUCCCAUGUGAUUCUCCUGGCUUUUCAUACUUCGUGUUUGGGCUUCAUUCUAAUUUGGUAACUAAACCACGUAAGCGUUCCAGAAAAUGCCUGUCCCGACAGUGUGCAGACAGAAGAGGUCGCAUCUCGAUAUUCUCCUAAAGGAAGCAGGGAGAACGUCCCUCGAAGACCUAAGCAACGCUGGAUCGAGACUCCUGCUUAGUAUUGAGCCAAGCAAUGGCAAGAGGAAAGAGACUGCAUGUAGACUACACCUGUCCUCCCCCAGGCUGGGGCUGAAGCCCGUGUCCCCAGAGGAAGCUGUCUUGUCAAAACGGACAGGGAUUAUACUAGGAACAAUGAAAAGGAGGGGACAGGUGCUGAGCAGGAGACCCUGUGGUCUGGACCAAAGAGAGGUGGCACUAAAGCUUGCUGUUUAUGGCCCAUUGGCAUACAUGGUCUUUAGAUAUGUUAUUUUUUCUGGUUUUGUUUUAUUGAUGUUCUUGUUGUUUCUUAUAUCCCUUUAUCUUCUUAGUACCCAGACAUGAAUCCUUAUAAGGAGUCCAAGGAUAUCAACAGCAAACACCAUGUCCUACCGACCCCUACAAUAGACUCUUUGUGACUGGGUCAAGAUCACCAUGCUCAACUCUCUCCUCCUUUCGUCUCCACUGUCUCCCUCCCAGAGAGGCCUUCCUGACCGUCCUGUCUAGAGGAGUGAUUUCUCCAAGUCAGUUUCAACCGUAGCCACGUGUGCUGGCAGCCACAGCAGGUGUUAGUAUUGAAAACGGUCUUGGUCACUCCUCCCUGGAAAAUAUAAACACCGGGAAUGGGGAUCUCGACUGUACGCCUUUCCAGCACCCACGAGAAUGUUGGUCAGGUGUUGAGUCAGUCCUACAGAAAUUCACCCAUUUCCAGAUGCUAUCUCCGACCCACCACCAGGGGAUGAUCCAGCAACCCUACCCCUGACCCCAACUGAAAAUCCCGCAAAAGCCGAUAGGAAGCUCUUCUAUGCCCUCAAGCCUCACCACGUGGCUCCAGGCAGGAGUUGACCGCUGGGAAGCUGCCCCAUCCUGCUCCCAAGGACACUGAAUGGCCUGGAGCUGACGUUAAUGCCCAGUGCAUUAACUCUCCACUUCACUGGGUUCAUUCUCCAGUAGCCUUCCCCACAACUGGCUUUUCUCAUCCCCACCAGAACGGGGUGCUCCUAGCAGCCCCAGAUCCUUAGCUAGUGCAUCAUGUUCAUCCUCAUUUUCCAACGAGGAAACUGAGGCUGGAGUAAUUAAACAGCUUUGUCAAGGCUCACAGCACCAAGUGCUUGAACUGGAAUCCAGAAGUCAUGCUAACGCAAACAUGUUGCGCCGCCUCUCGUAAGCCCGGACGAUGCCAGGACAAGUACAGAUGUGGGUCUGAUGGAAAACAUCUAUCAAGAGACUUCGCAAAGGCUUAGGAGUCACUCAGGAAUGCUGUUGUGGUCAAGUGACAGUUGAUGGCAGCUACUCACGCUGACAGAGCAUCCUCCUUUGGGUUGGGACAGCCCCACGGGAGACUUCCCCGUGUUGAUUCCUCUCCCAGUAGCUUCUCUGGCCACCCCUGCCUAUUGGGGGAUGGGAAUGGCCCAGGGCACCACCCUCAUCAUCUCUGGAAAAGUCCACCCUGACGUUAAGCCAGAAAAAACAUUGUCUAUACUCAUAAAUUAGCAAAGCAAACCUCUUGCUGCAAGAGAUGGGCUUGCUUCUUUGGGUGGGAGGGGGCUUUUGGCUGACUUCCCCUGCAUCCUAUCGUAUCGCUGUCAUCCCUGCAACCCACACAAACACGGCCCAGACCCCAAGAUGUAAUGAUUAACUGCCUCUUUUUUAGUUCAUUAGCAAUUCUGCUGUAUUAAUAGAUUAUCAAGAGCAGCUUCAGUAUGUCAUAAAAUCUGUUUGGUAUUAACUUGAUACACGAUGUGUUUUUCUCCAUCCAGCUAAAUAGUUUUCCUUAAAUCUGGACCAGAUGAGCACUCUGGGACUCGCAUGAGCUCAUGUGUGUGUGAGCAUGGAAUGCAGUGCGUUGGGUCCCCUUGGACGUGGGGAGCACGUGUUUGGCACAAACAGAAACAUCCUUAGGCACUGAUGCCUCAAUUAAGGGAAAGAUAAAGACGCAAGAUCAGAUAGGGCAUCUGCAAAACGUUAAUUUCCGGGGGAUGCCCUCUAUUUAAGUCAUUUUUCGGGUCGGCUUGGUGGCUGGUUUAGGCAAAAUCGUGCAGAGCAUGAAAUUGUCUUGAUUCACCGUCCCUUUGGGAGCAGCAUCCCUUCCCCUCCCCUAAUCCCUGCUAAUUAUGCCUUCUCCCGCCUCCAGCUCACCAAGGCCCCCUCGCUCACUCACUCAGUUGGUCUCUUCUGAGUCUAUUCUGUUUUAGGUGCAGGGGGUUGGGGGAAGAAGACAAAGAACGGUCUUGCAUCUAAGGGCAGGAGACAGAAAGGUGGAAGAAAAAGACAACUGACCUACACGGGACAUGAACCCCUCCUGGAAGAGACAAAGACUCCAAACCAGGACAGGAGAGACUUCCUAGAGGGAGCACGCAGCUUCAAUAGAACUUUGAACAUUCCAGCAUCAGGGCUGCCACUGGCAGCUUUGUGCAAAUGAUAAAAAGGCACCACCAUGGCCAGAGCAAGUCCCGUGCAGGGCACACAGCGUGAGAGACCCAGGCUCACUGCUGCGUGUAGUCUACUCUCCCUUCUAGCCUGGUGCCCCUGUGAAGUCAGCGACCGGCACAGCUGGGUCCCUGGGAUGACACAUGUAGAAGAGAGUACUUCAAAAAACUCAGGGAGGCAGACAGCACUAUGGGUAAAGCCGCAGCCUGCAGGGCCAGCAUCCCAUAUGGGCACCAGUUCGAGUCCCAUCUGCUCCACUUCCGAUCCAGCUCUCUGCUAUGGCCUGGGAAAGCAGUAGAAGAUGGCCCAAGUCCUUGGGCCUCUGCACCUCUGUGGAGGACCCCGAAGAAGCUCCUGGCUGCUGGCUUAGGAUCGGCACAGCUCCGGCCAUUGCAGCCAAUUGGGGAAUAAACCAGUGGAUGGAAGACCUCUCUCUCUCUCUGUCUGCCCGUCCUUCUCUCUCUGUGUAACCCUUUCAAAUGAAUAAAUAAAUCUUUUUAAAAAAUCAGAGAGAAAUGGAAUUAAAAGAUAAGCUCAUAUUGGUGCAAAGAAUUUCUAAAAUUCCUGCAUUUUUUUCAUAAUACACAUUUUCUUGAACUUUUUGAAGAUCCCUUCAGAUUCCCAAAAUUUUUUGCAACAACAAUUUUUAAAGAUUGAUUGGUUGAUUUGAAAGGCAGAGAGAGAGAGAGAAGAGCAGAGAGAGAGAUCUUUCAUCCACUGGUUUACUCCUCAAAUGACCACAGCAGCUAGGCUGAAGCCAGGGGCCAGAAGCUUCCUCCAGGUCUCCCACAUGGAUGCAGGGGCCCAAGCACUUUGGCCAUCCUCUGCUGCUUUCUCAGACGCAUUAGCACGGAGCAGGAUCAAUAGUGGGUUAGCUAGGACUUGAACUGGGAUCCACGUGGGAUGCCAGUUCUGCAGGCGGUAGCUUAACCCGCUGUGCCUCAGCACCAGCCCCCAAUUUCAUGUUUCACACAAAAUUUCUGCAGUAUCCUCUUACUAGUUUCCUAGGGCUGUUACACGGAGAGGCUUAAAACAAUAGGAAUUCCUUGUCUCCCCAUUCUGGAGACCAGAUGUCCAAACCACGAUGUAGGGCCCACCACGGUUCUUCUGGACAUCUGGGAGAACAGGACUGGCCUCUUCCAGCUCCCAGAGGCUCCAGGCCAUUCUUGAUUUGAGGCUGCACAUUCCAAUCUCUGAGGACCCUCUCUCCAAAUAAGGUCAUGUUCUCAGGUUCUGGAAGCUAGGUCAUAAGCAUCUUUUUGCUUUUUAAUUGUAAAAAAAACCCAACAAUUUAUUUUACUUGUUCGAAAGGCAGAGUUUGAGAAAGAAAGAGAGAGAGAGAGAGAGAGAGAGAGGUCUUCCAUCCACUGGUUCACUACCCAAUUGGCCAAAAAGGCUGAAGCUGGACAAGGCUGGAGCUGUGACCCCGGAGCUUCAUCUGGGUCUCCCAUGUGAGUGGCAGGGCCCAAGCACUUGGGCCAUCUUCCACUGCUUUCCCAGGAUGUUAUAGGGAACUGGAUCAGAAGUGGAGCAGCCAGGACUUGAACUGGCGUCCACAUGGAAUGCCAGCAUUGCAGGCAGUGGCUGAACCUGCUGUGCUACAAUGUAGGUCACAAUUUUUAUUUAUUUAUUUGAAAGGCAGAGAGAGAGAGAGAGAGAAAGAGAGCAAGAGAGAGCUCCCAUCUGCUGGUUCAUUCUCCAAAUGCCUAUAACAGCCAGGGCUGGACCAAGCUGAAGCCAGAAGCCUGGAACUCAAUCCAGGUCUCCCUCUUGAGUGACAGAGACUGUAGCCAUCACCUGCUGCCUCCCAGAGGGAGUGAGAGCAGGCAGAAGUCCCCACAGCCACCAGAAACUGGAGAGGCGGGGAAGGACUAUUCCUGGAGCCUGUGGACAGAGCGCAGCCCACACCUCGAUUCCAGACUUUUGAGAAUAAUUUUCUGCUGUUUUAAGGCACAAAGCUUGUGGUCAUUUGCCUUGGCAGCCCUAGGAAACUACUGAACAUUAACAAUGCGCAUGACAUGCUCUUAACGUUGAUAGCAAGGAACAGGCGAGUAAUGAGGUGCACGGAGCAGAGUCUGGGCACUCUGUAGUGGUAACUGCUCUUGUUCUAAAAAGAGGAGCCGGUGGCCUGGCUCUCACUGCUCUGCCAUCUUCCUGCAGCGGUGCCGCCAGGGACCACGCUGUUGUGACCUUGGAAAUGAGUUUGCUAAUCCCUCCACCUGUUCUCUCUGGCAUGCUAGAGUACCCUCAGGGAGCCAGCGGGCUUCAGAGCUGCUGUCUCUUGAUACUGAUCAUGCAAUAAACAUGGCAGGCUGGGUAGUCAGCCAGAGAGAAGUCCUUUGGCCAUUAUAAGCAUGAUCUAAUGCACUGAUCACCUUGCCUGCCGACGGUGGCCAAGUAGGCUUGUGACUGGCCAGUCCCCAAAACAAGUGAACCCCUGUUACAAAGGAUCCUGCCACAUGGCUUCAGCUGUCCUGAAGACUGGCUUAAGUCUCAGUCCCUGGAAUGUAAUAAUGACAUAGAACUCGUGUCCUUGAGUUUAUCACAACUUUCCCACCUCACCCUUUCUUAGAAAUAUGCGAAUAAAAUAACUCCACUUGCAAACCAUGAGCCUUCAGAAAGGACUAGGUAUCUUUCUUUACCCCCAAGGCGAUGCUAACAGGAGGUUUUCUGGCUCAACUAAAAACUUGAAGGACUUUCAGUACGGAAGCACCCUAAGCCCUUGGGCCAUAUCCCAACCAACCCAACUGGUCAUGAAAGACCUUGACCUCCAGGCUCCGGAGCUCUUGCCACGUAGGCUCCCUGCUCCUGCUCAUCCCCAGCAAGGGCUUUUGCUCUACUGCAUCUCUUCCCACCCCCACGUGAGCUGAGUCUCAGCAGCUUCUUCCCUCCAUCCCCCAGAGGAAGCCCAAGUCCCUUAGCCUCAGUGCGAGCCCCGCCCCCUUUUACCUUGUUUGGCACAGAACUCAAG